UGCAGACACAAUUCAGUCCAUAGCAAAAUGUUAUGGGCGUUUUCAAAUUCACUAAAUACCACCAAAUUGCUCUCCGGAAUGGUUUACCCAUUUACGCGCUCAUAAACAGGCUAUGUAGUUACCAUUUCAAAUAGGAAAUCAAAGAAAUCAAAAUGUUACACUUCUGUAACAUUGUGGGGACACAAAUUGAUACCUGAAAUUAGAAACUCAUAAGACAUGAAUGUGAAUGGGAUUCCAGAUUCUAGAAACCCUUAAAUCAUAGACCAUAAGGAACCACACCCCCGGAAGUCACCUGAAGUGAUGUGCGGGCAAUGUCAUAAUCAGGCAGAGAGACUACACAAACACCACACGACUGAUGAGCAUAGCAUUUCCCAGACAUCUCCAUGGAAAUGAGUUCAGUUGGAGCACCUAUAUCAUCUCAUGAAGGACUUGCCAUCAGGGUGACCCAUCUAUGAGUCCAAUGAGUAAAUAAACCAACGGGACUGACCUUCAAAGGGAAAGAACCAGAAACCUCUCUCCAUGUCAAGGACAUUAUAAUCAUGGCCUUGGAAAUCUUCCUUCUCCAUGAUUGGAGCUGCUGGUGCUUCCAGUCAAGGCCAGGAAGAGGAAAUGAAUUCGUGGGAAAGGAGGUCGUGAUCAUAUCGCCCCUGCCCUGAGUUACUCCAGGACCAGAAAACUAGAAAUCACCCCUGCAUAGCCCAGAGCCCGUUGGAAUUAUUCAAACUCCCCAACCGUAAGUUGACUCAGUCUACCUACCCUGCCUUGCCCAUUCCCUUCCUGGAAAACCCCACACAGGCUCUAGGUCAUGCUCUCCCCUCUUCAUUUCUGUCUCCUGAUGGACCUGGUA